rnacentral:lncRNA from 1 species
CUUUGCAUAACUCGGCAUUUGCUCCAAUGCCUCAACCAAUGGUAUAGCCAUCUCAAGCUUGUUCAAUACCUUCAUGAACUUCUUGAACUCCUUCUCUCGCUCAAGAUUCUUAACUUUCUUUCUCCUAGGAAAAGGCAUCCUAGCAUAUGGCGAUUCAUCAACUCCUUUGCCUUUCUCGACCUUCUUACUCUCUUUUUCUUUUAUCUCCC